rnacentral:rRNA from 1 species
CCUACGGGGUGCAGCAGUAGGGAAUUUUCGUCAAUGGGCGCAAGUCUGAACGAGCAAUGCCGCGUGAACGAGGAAGGUCUUCGGAUCGUAAAGUUCUGUUGAAGGGGAAAAAGAGCGGAGAGAGGAAAUGGUCUCCGAUUGAUAUUACCCUUCGAGGAAGUCACGGCUAACUACGUGCCAGCAGCCGCGGUAAUACGUAGGUGGCGAGCGUUAUCCGGAAUGAUUGGGCGUAAAGGGUGCGUAGGCGGCCUGCUAAGUCUGGAGUGAAAGGUACCGGCUCAACCGGUACAGGCUCUGGAAACUGGCGGGCUAGAGAGCAGGAGAGGGCGGUGGAACUCCAUGUGUAGCGGUAAAAUGCGUAGAUAUAUGGAAGAACACCAGUGGCGAAGGCGGCCGCCUGGCCUGUUACUGACGCUGAGGCACGAAAGCGUGGGGAGCAAAUAGGAUUAGAUACCCGUGUAGUC